rnacentral:rRNA from 1 species
CCUACGGGAGGCAGCAGUGAGGAAUAUUGGUCAAUGGACGAGAGUCUGAACCAGCCAAGUAGCGUGAAGGAUGACUGCCCUAUGGGUUGUAAACUUCUUUUAUAUGGGAAUAAAAUGUUCCACGUGUGGGAUUUUGUAUGUACCAUAUGAAUAAGGAUCGGCUAACUCCGUGCCAGCAGCCGCGGUAAUACGGAGGAUUCGAGCGUUAUCCGGAUUUAUUGGGUUUAAAGGGAGCGUAGGUGGAUUGUUAAGUCAGUUGUGAAAGUUUGCGGCUCAACCGUAAAAUUGCAGUUGACACUGGCAGUCUUGAGUACAGUAGAGGUGGGCGGAAUUCGUGGUGUAGCGGUGAAAUGCUUAGAUAUCACGAAGAACUCCGAUUGCGAAGGCAGUUCACUGGACUGCAACUGACACUGAGGCUCGAAAGUGUGGGUAUCAAACAGGAUUAGAUACCCCUGUAGUC